AGACACACACACACACACACACACACACACAGGCCAGUCCCAAGUCUGGAUGAAAGGUGAGGGUGUCAUACUAACCCUUAUCAUGCUGGAUUUAAAUGGGCAUUUUUAUUGCCCAUGAAGAAGUUUUAUUUCUUAAUUAAUAAAAUAUCAUGAGAAUCAUUGGACAAACCAUACAUUUCCUGAAAGGGUGGACUUUGGGGAAUAAUCUAGUGAGAUUUUUGCAAAGCCUUACGUGCUCGGGGGUGAUUUAUAACCCUAAUUGCCUGUUAAUUAGCUAAUUAACAGGUAUGCUCAGGUGAGCCAAAAAGGGGUGAAAUGUAUUUUUUUUUUAAUAAGACAAGAUAUAAACACCAAAUUUUCAGGAUAUGUCCUUGGGGGAACUAGUAGUAAAUUUUUGCAAAUUCAGCUCAUUUGCAUAAACUGUUGCCAUGGCAACAGCAGAUACCCUAGCAACUGGGGGUAUACUGGGUUUAACAUGGUCUGGUUGUACCAGAGAGGGUCAGAAUAGUUAUUAUUUUUGUUGUAAUGAACUAAUGUAGACCUUGUUUGGCUAUUUUGAUAGAUUUCAUCAUCUUUGGAUAUUUGAAUAAUAUAUGGGAUCAGAUCUAAUUGGGGGCCAAGCAGCAAAGCUGUGCAGGCACCCAUAGUGUUUCUACUGUUUCUUAUUAUUCAACGUUCUUCCGCCUCUGCAAGUCUAUGGCAGCCCAUAGAACCGUCUGGUAAAAAGUUGUGAAAUUUUGCACACUGAUUCUAGACAGUCUCAACAUUCCUCUCAGCAAAUUUCAGGCCUCUACCUCAAACCCUCUAGCGCCACCAACAGGUCAAAGUUGCAGGUACAUUUCUGCUUGUAACUUUUGAACCGCUGGUCCGAUUUUCAAAAGUUGGUAUCCUUGGAAUCCUUGGGCCAAGACGAAUCCAACGCACCCUAUGACGUCAUUUUCCGCCUGGAUAGUUUUCCCGCCAUUUUGAAUUUUGUGAAAAUCAAUUAAAAUGCUUCUCCCCCAAUUUUUGACCAAUUUUUCCCAGACUUGGUACAUAGCAUAAUUGGACCAAGCCGCACAAAAGUUAUGCUCAGUGUUUUGAAUUUCAUAAGCGUUUGGCUGUGGCAGCCAAUCAAAGUUGGCUGUGCAGACGCGAAACAGGAAGUGUGCUCAUAUCUCGGCCGCCCUUUGGCGUAUCUUAACGAAACUUGGUGGCAUUAUGCCCCACCCCUCCAAAAAGGCCCACAAAACAUUUGGAACAAAUUGGCCGCUAGGGGGCGCUAUAACUAGGAAAAAUGACUUUUGGCUCAUAUCUCAUGAUGCGUUUUGGGUAGAGAUGCACCGAUACCACAUUUGUAAAAACCGAUACGAGUAUGAGUACUACCAUUUCAGUACUUGCCGAUACCGAGUACUACCGAUACUGUUGAUGUUAUUAAAAUAUAGGCUACCUACAUAUCUAUAAUCUAACACCCGCGGGCCGCCGCAAUGCUCGCAACCACCCACUACAACUCUGCGCACUGACAUUCAGUACCCAGCAGAGGGAGACAACUAGUCAUGAACGAGUGUAUAGAGAAGACGACUCAGCCGUUACAACCAAACGAACAUGUCGUCCUCAGCAGUUUGGCGUUUUUAUAAAAUUUUGGAGGAAGACAGGAGCAAAGUGAAAUGCACCAUAUGCAGUGCAACAAUAGCAAGAGGUGGGAAGGAAAGUACUUCAUUUAACACCAGCAAUUUAAUUAAACACCUACGGAUAUGCCACGCUGAACAGCAUGGUCAGUUUGUCAGUGCUAGUAGCAGUCACCAGCAGCAGCCAACUGUGAUCGACUUCUUCAAAAAAAAGGAGAAGAUGGCAAAAGACAGCCCCAGAGCAAAGAAGAUAACCGAGACCAUCACCGAAUUCAUUGCCCUGGAUGACCAGCCGUUCUCAGUGGUGGAUGACGUGGGAUUCCGGCGACUGCUCGAAGUUCUUGAACCCAGGUACGAGCCACCCAGCCGCCGCCGCCAUAUCACAGAUGUGAUGCUGCCCAGGGUCUUCGACACCGUUAAGGCCCACGUGCAGAGCUCGGUUGCUGACGUUGAGUCAUUGAGCUUCACCACGGACAUCUGGAGUAGCAGCCUCUGUCCGAUGUCGCUGUUGAGCCUGACAGCUCAAUGGAUAGAUGAAAAGUUUGACCGUCAUCAAGUGAUGUUGCAGACCAGACCAUUCCGAGGCCACCACACCAGCUUGGCAAUAGCCAACAUCUUCACCGACAUGCUGCAGCUCUGGGGUAUCAAGACAACCGCUACCCACGUCGUAGUGCACGACAAUGCCCGCAAUAUGGUAAGAGGCAUGAGUGAUGCUGGCCUUGCCAGUCUGUGCUGCGCGGCACACACCCUCCAGCUGGUGGUUCACGAGGGGCUGCUGUCGCAGAGGAGUGUGGGCGAUGCGGUGGCUGUGGGGAGAAGGAUAGUUGGCCAAUUCAAGAAAUCCACCUUGGCCUACUCCAAGCUGGAGGACAUCCAGCUUUCGAUAAAUCAACCCAGCAGGUGACUCCAACAAGAUGUCCCAACCAGAUGGAACAGCACGCUAUAUAUGAUUCAGUCCCUGCUGGACCAGAAACGGGCCCUGGGGAUUUACACUUCUGAAAAUGAAGUGGACACCCUCAGCGCAAACCAGUGGGCACUGCUGGAAAAAACGGCCAAAGUUCUAGCUCCAUUCGAGGAAUUGACGAGGCGGGUCAGCUCCUCCACGGCGACGGCAGCAGAUAUAAUCCCAGCCAUAACCGUGCUCCUGCGCUUCCUCUCUCGGGAGACUGACGAGGACCAAGGAGUCAGAACUAUGAAAGGCACCCUGCUGGCAGCAGUGAAAGCACGUUUCGGAGACAGCGAAAGCAACCCCAACUACACGCUCGCAAUGUUACUUGACCCAAGGUACAAAACUGGAUUUUUCUCCAGCCCAUCAACGGCGAAGGAGCUGCUGCUGCAGAAGAUGGGCCUAGAGGAGAUGACAGACGCGCAGGAUGAAGUUGAGCCACUGGCCAAAACGCCACGGAUGGACCAGGGUAGCAGCUGUCUCGACAACAUAUUCAAUGAAAGUCAAUGAGCACGUAGUAGCACUCUCCCCAAGCACCGUAAGCGGCACUGCUGAAUUAGAGGCACACCUCGGGGAGGCUCCUCUGGCCCGUAGGGACGAGCCACUUACCUACUGGAAAGUGAACAAAAGUAGGUUCCCUACUCUAGCUAAAAUGGCCCGCCGGUACUUAUCUGCACCUUGUAGCAGUGUUGAGAGCGAGCGGUUGUUCAGCUCUGCUUCAAAUGUUGUAACUGACGCAAGAAACUGACUGACACCUGAACAUGCUGAAAUGCUUUUGUUCAUUAAAAAAAACCUGCCUCUAACUUUCAAAAAAUAGGCACCUUCAUAAAGUUAAUAGGCCUAUUUUAAUCGGUUAUUGUUGUUGCAAUGUUCGCAAAAUGCCUGCAAGAAUGCUUAGUUCAGAGUAUGCCUACACGUUGUCAGUCGUAGGCUAUGUUUAAUGAAGAUGGCAAAGCCAUUAAAGUUGUUUUCUUAAAUCUUUUUUGCUAUAUAUAAUAAAAAAAAUCGAAUUUAAAUAAAA